rnacentral:lncRNA from 1 species
UAUUUUCAUGAUCUGCUUUGAGAUGUUUCUGAAUACCUGUUUCUCUGUGGAAUAGCCAAUUGGCUUUCUGUUUUCAACUGGUUGCUAGACAGGUUUUUGGAUUGGUUUCUGCAUCAUUGUUUUCUUUGGCAAUUUAUCUGUGACACAUAUUUUGAAAGUGCCAAAAUCAAUGGAAUUACUUUAAGUGGGACAAUUGAAUUUAGAUCGAACUUGGUAAUGAAAGAAAGGGGAAAGAAAAGGAAAGAAAGACAAUGUUUCUCAUGCACAUGCCUUUAUACUGUCAUAGGUAUGCGACCAUGAAAUGAAAUGCCAAUGUGAAGAAGGAUGGGCACCACCAAAUUGUGAGGAUUCUACUGGAAACACAUAUAUCAUCAUCAUCGUGACUGUGCUGGUGGCCCUCACCGUCACAGGGAUCAUUGCUGCAGUCUUUUUCCGUUACUACAUUCUCAAUAAGAAACCAAAUCAAAGGUAUGCCUUUUGAACUUCUCAGCUCAACUCUCAGAAAGUGUCUAAUUCAGUUGCAGCAUCUCCUACCUGGUUUUAAGUUGGAAAGGGUCCUCAAAGCAGCUUCUGUUUCCAUAUAAAAGGGAGAAAGUAAGCAAGGCAUGAGGUCUCAGUGUUCCUUAAUCUGGUGGAAAGAAACAGAGGAAAGUAGAAGUGAAUUCUCAGAAGGGCUUAUGGUGGCCUUGUUUCCUAUUUCUCUUUCUUCCAUAGCAAGCAACUGCCCUGAUUUAGACAGGAUGGUCCUAUUUAGUUCUCAUUUCCUCUAUACUUUCUGAUUGUUCCAGUCCUGAUUAAUCCUCUCUUGUCUCCCUUUUUUGGUUGCCUUUCUAUGGUCAGGACUUAGUCAUUCCUAACACAGAAAACUGUAUAUACUCGAGUAUAAGCCUAGUUUUUCAGCCCUUUUUUUAAGACUGAAAAAGCCCCCCUCGGCGUAGGGUCCUGGUUGGCUUAUAUUUGGGUCAGCUUAUACUCAAGAAUAUAUGGUACAUUUAUUAUUUUUCUCUAUUAUUAUUGGUAUUAUUACAUUUAUUAUUUUUCUCUAUUAUUGUUGCUACUAUUACAAUUAUUUUACUCUAUUUUUAUUAUUAAUACAGUAGAGUCUCACUUAACCAACGUAAACCGGCCGGCAGAACGUUGCAUAAGCGAAUAUGUUGGAUAAUAAGGAGAGAUUAAGGAGAAGCCUGUUAAACAUCAAAUUAGGUUAUGCUUUUACAAAUUAAGCACCGAAACAUCAUGUUAUACAACAAAUUUUACAGAAAAAGUAGUUCAAUACACAGUAAUGCUAUGUAGUAAUUAUUGUAUUUACAAAUUUAGCACCAAAAUAUCACGAUGUAUUGAAAACUUUGACUACAAAAAUGUGUUGGAUAAUCCAGAACGUUGGAUAAGCGAGUGUUGGAUAAGUGAGACUCUACUGUAAUACAUUUAUUAUUUCACUCUGAUCUUAUUAUUAUUGCAUUUAUUAUUUUACUCUAUUUAUUAUUACUUGUAUUAUUUUCCUGUAUUUAUUAUUAUUAUUAUUAUUAUUAUUAUUAUUAUUAUUAUUACAUGUAUUAUUUUACUCUAUUAUUAUUAAAAGAAUACAUAAGCACAUUUACUUUGAAGAAGAUGAGAAUAAUGAUUUGAUCAGAGUUGGACAGUCUUAUCUUCAAUUUGAAUUUUAUGUGAAUAUUCAAAAACAUUUAACCUACUGAUGCCUCAAUUAAUGUAAUUUUAUUGGUAUCUAUUUUUAUUUCUGAAAUUUACCACCCUCGGCUUAUACUGGAGUCAAGGUUUUCCCAGUUUUUUUGUAGUAAAAUUAGGUGCUUCAGCUUAUAUUCGGGUCGGCUUAUACUUGA